rnacentral:rRNA from 1 species
UACGUAGGGUGCAAGCGUUAUCCGGAAUUAUUGGGCGUAAAAGAGCUCGUAGGCGGUUUGUCGCGUCUGCUGUGAAAACUGGAGGCUCAACCUCCAGCCUGCAGUGGGUACGGGCAAACUAGAGUGCGGUAGGGGAGAUUGGAAUUCCUGGUGUAGCGGUGGAAUGCGCAGAUAUCAGGAGGAACACCGGUGGCGAAGGCGGGUCUCUGGGCCGUAACUGACGCUGAGACGCGAAAGCGUGGGGGAGCAAACAGG